rnacentral:rRNA from 1 species
AACGCGAAGAACCUUACCAAGGCUUGACAUACACCGGAAACGGCCGGAGACGGUCGCCCCCUUGUGGUCGGUGUACAGGUGGUGCAUGGCUGUCGUCAGCUCGUGUCGUGAGAUGUUGGGUUAAGUCCCGCAACGAGCGCAACCCUUGUCCCGUGUUGCCAGCAGGCCCUUGUGGUGCUGGGGACUCACGGGAGACCGCCGGGGUCAACUCGGAGGAAGGUGGGGACGACGUCAAGUCAUCAUGCCCCUUAUGUCUUGGGCUGCACACGUGCUACAAUGGCCGGUACAAUGAGCUGCGAUACCGCGAGGUGGAGCGAAUCUCAAAAAGCCGGUCUCAGUUCGGAUUGGGGUCUGCAACUCGACCCCAUGAAGUCGGAGUCGCUAGUAAUCGCAGAUCAGCAUUGCUGCGGUGAAUACGUUCCCGGGCCUUGUACACACCGA